AGAGAACAAUAGUCAGACUGAAUGUUGAACAUCAGCUGCUUCCUCCUGCUGAUUUAAACCUUGGUGGACAGAUGGAACAUUGGCUGUGGAUUAUUCUGGCUGCUCUUUUCUCUGAGUGUAAAGGAGACUCAGUGAAGCAGACAGAAGGAGAAGUUGUUGCUGCUGCAGGAGAAUCACUGACUCUGAGAUGUACCUAUGAGACCAGUGUGAGUGUCACAUUGUUCUGGUACAAACAAGAAGGAAACAGUUUCCCAAAGUACAUGCUGAAGCAGCUGCCAUCGUCAAAAUAUAAAGCUCCAGAUUUCGACAAUGACAGAUUUGAUGCUGACUUCAAUAAAGACGAAAAAUCCUUCAACCUGAAGAUCCAGGAUCUCCGUCUGUCAGACUCUGCUGUGUACUACUGCGCUCUGCAGCCCACAGUGACAGGAAACACCAGAACCCUGCACAAAAACCUGCAGUACUCCACAGCAGCCACUAGAGGGCCUCACUCCCUGUUGGUCCUGCACAGUUAGGACUCAGUAGCAGACAUUAGUUCCCUUCAUUCCCAGAUUCACUGAGACUUCAGCCGUUUUUCUGAUCUGACUGCCUGGUUCUGUUCUGGGACUGAACUGGACUGUUCUGAUACAACAACGGUGGCACAUGAUUGGCUGAGCCUAAAAAAAAAAAAACAGUUUUAAAAAGACUGGACAGAGACACUGACGGA